CUGAAAACUGGCAUUUUGAGAAAUCCUCCAUUUAUAAAAGUUGCUGACAUAAUGCACUAUCGUCUUCCUAUAGAUUGUGAUGGUGUGUCAGGAGCUAAAAUCUCCAGAAAGCCACUCAUGAGGAUGAAACAAAACAAAAUACUAUUUGCAAAACGUGUUUGUAAAACAUAUUCACCAUUCAGCUUUCAAAGGCUAUUCCGUAAGCAGAGAAACGUGUACUUUAUUAGAGUGCCCUUGACUGUAAUCCUAAAGCCAAAUGGGUCUCCAGAAAUGAGACUGCAUAAGACUUUUAUCCAUUCCUUUUGAAACCAACUUCCUAGGCCAACUGGUCUUCAAAUAAGAAGUAAAUUCCUGUAAUGACAAAGAUCAGAGGAGAUCUCUUUGGAGGAAUGAACAAUCUCUUGAAACAGUGAAAAAACAUCUUAAGUGUUGAAGGCAAGCAAAAAUGCCCAAAGAACGUCAACCAUAACAUUUCCAGGGCCUGGAGGAUAACAGCAAGUUCUAUAAUCAAUCUGAAAGUUUGCCAAUCUAAUUUUUGCACAAUUCAGGAAGAAAAACUUCAAUUCAGAUGAGCAGAGAGAAAUCAAACCCAUUUGUUUACUUUGAAUCUGAAAGUAAACCUCUCUGAUUUUAUUCUCUGUGAAAUUUAAAUUCUGCCUUUCACCACUCUAAUAAUAUUAUUGUAUUUACAUAUUUUAUUAAUCAUAAAAGCUUAUUUUAAUUUAUGUGGCUUUAUUUACUUUCUGGACUAAUUGUAUGGUAGAUGUUUAAAGUGUACAUACUUGAUAAUAUCAUCUUUGUUAUUGCUUAACACUCACAGUGCAGCAGAGCCACAAAACCUCCAGAAAUGAUUGAUGUCUCUUGUGUUUAGUGUAUGAAUACACACAGGGAGGAAAGAAAGCAGAAGUCUCUACCCUAAUGUACUUUGAUGUCCCCAGUCCUGAAGGACUAAUGGCAAAGUCAGAUUCUGGACUUGGACAGAAAGAGACAUAGAAAUCAAUGGAAGGGUAUUUCUGAUUUGGGAGAAUAUUCUGUUCUUACUACGUAAUGGUGAUAUUAAACUGUUGACUCUUAAAUGCCCUUACUAAGCUGCUCAUAGGAGCUAAGUCACGUUGUCCAAUAACAGCCUUUUCUGUGGAACACAGCUUUGAAUUAUUUUCUUCUUAGCUGAGAGUAUUUUAGUAUCAGGUGGUUUUAAAUAAGAAGCAUUUAAUCUUAGCUUAUAGCAUGAUUUCUAUAACAGCAUAAUUAUAGGAAAUAUAUUUUCAGAAAACCUUUAGAAUAUUCUGUUUUCUAACACAAUUACCCAAAAGGUCCAAUAUACAGCAGCUCCAAAAAGAACAGGAAGAAAAAAAAAAUAGUUGUUACGCACAGGAAUACAAUAGGAAAGUAAGAACAAUAGAAUAUCUAUUCUAAAGUUCAGUAACUGAAAACUGGAUUGUUGACGCACAUAUGAGGUAGCUAGUUACUGCUGAUCUGCUGAACUUUAAUAAAAUUGAUAUUUUAUUAAAGAGACCUGUAAAG
rnacentral:lncRNA from 1 species